AUAAAAGUAGUUAAAAAUAAAUAACCUUAGAUUUGCACUCUAAAAUUGGGAUUUUUCCCCUUUUAUG
rnacentral:tRNA from 1 species